UUUCUUUCUUUCUUUUUUUUUUUUUUUGAGACAGAGUCUCACUGUGUUGAUCAGGCUGGAGUGCAGUGGUGCAAUCUCGGCUCACUGCAACCUUCACCUCCCAGGUUCAAGCGAUUCUCCUGCCUCAGCCUCCUAAGUAGCUGGGAUUACAGGCACAUGUACCACAUUCAGCUAAUUUUUGUAAUUUUAGUAGAGACAGGUUUUCACCAUGUUGGCCAGGCUGGUCUCCAACUCCUGACCUCAAGGAAUCCACCUACCUUGGCUUCCCAAAGUGUUGGGAUUACAGGCGUGAGCCACCGUGCCUGGCCUUUACCCUACUUUCUUUUUAUUUUAUUUUUAUUUAAAAAAAAUUUUUUUAAGAGACGGGGUCUUGCUCUGUUGCCCAGGCUGGAGUGCAGUGGCUAUUCACAGGCGCGAUCCCACGACUGAUCAGCAUGGGAGUUUUGACCUGCUCCAUUUCCGACCUGGGCCUGUUCACCCCUCCUUAGGCAACCUGGUGGUCCCCUGCUCCCGGGAGGUCACCAUAUUGAUGCUGAACUUAGAGCAGACACCUUAUCGGCAUAGCACACUACAGCCCAGAACUCCUGGGCUCAAGCAAUCCUCCCACCUCAGCCUCCCGAGUAGCUGGGACUACAGGCACAUGCCACCGCGCCCGGCUACCUCACUUUCUUUAAGCAAAUGAUAUAAACCACAUGGAGAAUACUUUCCUUCUGUGGCUGAGAAUCAGGCUUGAAUUCAUCUGUCACAGGUGGCUGGCCUUGCUUCCUUUCCCAUCUCCACAGCCACUGGCAUUGGCACAGCUCCCUAGCUCGUAGGCAUUGACCCUGAAGGGAGAAAAUGACUGGUAUUAAUGUUAAGUGGCUGGUAGUAUUUGGUUUUCUUCCAAACCCCAUGUUGGGCAACUUAAAGGAAGUCAUCUCUUCUAAAUAAAAUAUUCAGUCCUAUUGGACCUAUCCUUCCUAGAAAAUGUCUAAUUACAGCAGAGGAAAGGAAGUUGCAUUUAGCGAGCACCUCUGUGCCAGGCACCACCUUUCACACAGGAUCUCAAUCUUCAUCACUACUAUGAGAAGCAUAUAUCAUGAGACUUAUUUUAUACAUGAGGCCACUGAGGUUAGAAAAGUCAAACAAGACUAGGCGUGGUGGCUCACGCCUGUAAUCCCAGCACUUUAGGAGGCCAAAGCAGGUGGAUCACGAGGCCAGGAGUUCCAGACCAGCCUGGCCAACAUAGUGAAACCCUGUCUAUACUAAAAAUACAAAAAUUAGCUGGGUGUGGUGGCACAUGCCUGUAGUCCCAGUGACUUGGGAGGUUGAGGCGGAGAAUUGCUUUAACCUGGGAGGUGGAGGUUGCAGUGAGCUGAGACCACACUACUGCACUCCAGCCUGGGUAACUGAGUGAGACUCUGUCUCAAAAAGAAAAAAAAAAAAGAGGUAGAGUCAAACAAUUUUCCCAAACCACUCAGCUAGUGAGUGUCAGCGGCAGAUCUAUCCCAAUGCCAAAGUCUAUGCUUUUCUCAUUAUGCCAAGCUGCCUCUGUAACAAAAGAAAGUCUUUAUAGAUCAAGUCCAAUGAUUUAAUACAUCAGGAAACUUACAGGGCAUGGGACUUCAAAAAUUAUAAAUACUAUAAUGGCGAUUCCACUGAUCAACAGGGUGACAGCAAUCAGAAUUUUGACCACAAUACUCCAUUUCUUUCUCUUCUCUAGGUUCUCAUCUGUGUCUAGGAGAGAGGGGAGUGGAAGAGGGAGAGAAGAGAAUUUGAGAGAGGGAAGAGAUUGACCCUUUGACUUGAAGUUCUUCUGGCUCACAAGAAUAAUACAGGCCCAGCCUGACCCAGAGGCAGAGGCUGAAUUUCCAAUUCAAACUCAGGGUUGGAGGGGAUAGGAGUGAGCUGAGCAUCAUGGACUCUGCUCUAACCUCUUUUGCAGCCUCUUCCCAAUAAGUCACCUUCCCUGGAAUUGGAGAUUUUCCAUAAUCACAUAGGGCUGAUUCUUACAUUGUUCUCAGGAAGAAAAACCUUGGGUACACAAGGAGUUCUAAACGUCUUUCACUGUCAGCUUUAUCAGGGUUCCUACCAUUUUGCUCUGACACAUUUUAUGGGAUUAGAAAAUCACCUUUCCUGUGUUUCCCUUGGCUUUUAUGGGGUAUAAGAGGAAGAAAUGUAAAUUGGCACUGCUUCUGGGUCAGAAGCUCAAUGUGGCAGCAAAUGGCUAAUAGGCAUUUUUUUUUCUUACUCUGUCACUCAGGCUGGCAUGCAGUGGCACCACCUUGGCUCACUGCAGCCUCAAUCUCCCAGGCUCAAAUCAUCCUCCCACCUCAGCCUGCUGAGUAGCUGGUACCACAGGUGCAUGCCACUAUGCCCAGCUAAUUUUGAAAAUUUUUGUACAGAGUCUCAUUAUAUUUCCCACUGAGCUUGAACUCCUGGCCUCAAGUGAUCCUACAGCCUUGGCCUCUCAAAGUGCUGGAAUUACAGGUGUGAGCCACCUCACCCAGCCCUUAUAUGCAUCUUGUUAUUACUAAUAUCAUAUUUUUUUCCUCUGGUAGAAACUAGGAUGUAACCCAAAUUGGAAUCUUAUAGAAUUUGAGUCUUGGCCAAUUUAAGGAGGGCUGUUGCUAAAAAAAAACAAACAAUGAAGCAGGCUUUGUGCGGUGGCUCAUGCCUGUAAUCCCAGCACUUUGGGAGGCUGAGGUGGGCAGAUCACUGGAGGUCAGGAGUCUUAGAACAGACUGGCCAACAUGGUGAAACCCGUCUCUACUAAAAAUACAAAAAUUGGGCCGGCUUUAGCUCAGUGGUUACUUCGACAAUGCUUUCUAUGGUGGAAACACAAAAAUUAGCCAGGCCUGGUAGUGCAUGAGAAUCUCUUUGCAUAGUUUGCAAGUUUAAAAAAGAAAAAGAAAAAAGAAAAAAAACAGUGAGGAUGAAAAUAUUCUCUUGGGGCUGGCCAUGGUUGGUAGGUAAUGUCUGUAAUCCCAGCACUUUGGGAGGCUGAGGUGGGAGGAUCACCUGAGCCAAGGAGUCUAAGACCAGCUUGGACAAUAUGGCAAGACCCUGUCUCUAAAACAGUUUGAAAAUUAGCCAAACACAGUGGCACGCACCUGUAGUUCCAGCUACUCAGGAGGUUGAGGUGGGAGAUUCACUUGAGCCCCAGAGGUCGAGGCUGCAGUGAGCCGUGUACUGCACUCUAGUCUGUGUAACACAGCAAGACCUUUUCUCACAAAAAGAGAGAGAGAAGGAAAGAAAGGAAGAGAGAGAGAGAAAAGAAAGAAGGAAGGAAGGAAAGAAAAAGAGCAAAGCACUUGGUUGGUGUCAUCACUCUUAUAAUUGUUUAGCAUUUAAAUAUAGUCCAUCUAUAUAGACAGUGGCUAGAAUUACCUACUACAGGAAUACUGUUUUUUCUGUCCCUAAUUCUGGCUACAGGGUGAGCUCAUCUGCGUGGAGAUAAAUGAUCAUUGAUAGUGUCAAAUUACAAACAUUUCUGGGACCUUCUUUAUAGAGAAGCUAUUUUUUUCUUUCUUUUCUUUUAUUUUAAGUCGAGGUUUCACCAUGUUGGUCAGGCUGGUCUUGAACUCAUGACCUCAGGUGAUCCACCCGCCUUGGCCUCCAAACUGCUUGGAUUACAGGCGUGAGCCACCAUGCCCGGACAAUUUUUUUUUUUUUAAGAUGGGGUUUCACCAUGAUGGCCAGGGUGGUCUUGAACUCCUGACCUCAGGUGAUCCACCCACCUCAGCCUCCCAAAGUGCUAGGAUUACAGGCGUGAGCCACCAUGCCCAGCGAGAAGCUGUAUUUUUCUAUAAGAAAUGGAAUGAUUUUUCAAUGUACAUUCAGUAACUUCUCAACCUUAAGAAAAAUGUCAGUAGACUCAGACUAACGUUGGAGCUAAAAAUGUUUCUUUUUCUGUUCUUGUUUUACUUCUACUUAUUUUGUACUUUGUCAUUCAAAGCUAGAAAAAUUACCAGUACUUGUAGUUUUCUCUCCUUCUUUAUUCCCAGAAGUUAUGGAAGGGGUAGUGGUAGAAAAAGUCUCUGAUGAAGCCCUCAUCACUGGAUAGACUUUACAUUGCGAGAUCCCUGGUAAAAAAGCUACAAAACAAAAUAGAAAAGAUGAAAUGACAAUUUUAGGAGAAAACUUUAUCCUGCAUUUGAUUUUACCUGAUCAAACCCUACCCAGCUGAUAGUAAACUUCUAAUUGUGGUCCUAUUAACCUGUCUGUCCAUAGGUUUAGGGUGUGGGCACAAUAUUAUGCCAAGAGUAAAUGAGGAUAGAGAUACUAAUAAGAGAUAUGGAUUAAAUCCCCGUAAGACUUGUGACUAUCAUAGGAUCAGAGUGAAGGAGUGGACCAUAUCUUGUUUGCCUAUCAUUCUUUAGGUCAUAAUAAUAAUAAAGAUGGAGGGCGGAAAAACUAUUGAAAGUUUCCUUCUUUAAAAAGCGAUGGCUCCAAAGUCCAAGGAAGAACGUGAAAUAUCACAAUUAACCUUCAUGACUUCUGCAAGUGUGUCUAGUAGAAUCUAAGUCAACUACUCUGAGAGGGGAUUGGGGAAAGCAGGAGGAGCUGGAAGAAGGAAAACCACCCAGCUUCAUGCACUCCUUGAUUGCAUUCAUUCAGCAUUUUUUUUUUUUAAGACAGGGUCUCCUUCUGUCAGCCAGGUUGGAGUGCAGUGGCAUGAUCUUGGCUCACUGCAACCUCCGCCUCCGGGGUUCAAGUGAUUCUCAUGCCUGAGCCUCCCACGUAAGUGGGAAUACAGGUGCACUCCACCACGCCCGGCUAAUUUUUGUAUUUUUUGGUAGAGAUGAGGUUUCACCAUGUUGGCCAGGUUUUCUCAAACUCCUGACCUCAAGUGAUCCACCCACCUCGGCCUCCCAAAGUGCUGGGAUUACAGGUGUGAGCCACUGUGCCUGGCCUGGCUUUACUUUCAAAAGAUCUCCGGGGCUACUGUAUUGGGAAUGGGCUAGGGGUGGGCAAGGGUAGAAGUAGGGUAACCUGUUAGGAGGCUGUUGCAAAAGUCCAGUAGAUGAUGUGAUUCACACCAGCAGUGGAAAUGAUGGGAGGUUGAAGGAGUCUAGCUGGACUCUGGAAAUAACCUUACUUGUCUCCAGAAUUGACCUAAUCCAAUUCAGAUAGUGUGGUUCCUGUUCCAUUUUUAGUAGUCUCAUGUCAUUACUUAUUAAAUUAAGGUCUGUAAGUUCUACUUGACUUUGCUAAAUUACUCUUCCAUGUCUUAAGUCCAUGGGAAAAUGAUAGUUCUUUAGCUCAGAGGCCAGUGGCCAUAAUAGACACUGUACAUGAAAUUAUAGGGGAAGAAGUAAUCCCUGAUUCCAGUUUAAUCAGGAAGACAGUGUCAGCAGAGAUUGGCAGAGACAGACAUAAAGUCAAUGUAUUCAAAAGGAAAAACAAGAACAUGUUUAGCAUAGUGCUAGUCAGUUAUUUGAAGUGAUAAUUUAUCUAUUUUAGCUAAAAAUAAACAAAUAUCGGAUGCUAGCCAGACAAAGUCUCCAGUGGCAUAGCGCGCAGCGCUCACUCGACUUGUCUCAGAGCCCCGAAGUCUGCCCAAAUUUUGAGUGUGGCCAUGAAUGAGGUUGUAUAAGAGUAAGAUUGACAGUAGUUUUGAUUGUGAUUGUGGUGAGCUGGAGCCACCUGAUCACUAACAGAAGACAUUUGUUAACCGCCAGCCACCAGGGCUUCCUGUUGAAAUAUAUAGCAACAACGGAAGAAAAGAAGCAAAACAGAAAUAGUGCUUACCACCGCCUUAGAACGAUGCUGCUCAGGACCAGUCCAACACUGAUUGUAUCUGCACUAUGAGGAGAAUGUUCAUAGAAGCCUAUUGUGUGCAUAUUUAUUCACAUUUUUGUUAAAUGUUAAAUUGUUUAGCACAGUAAUCUGAGUGCAUAGUAUGUCAUUUCAUUCCAUUUGAGUUUCUUGAGUGUUUUCUUUAAAUGUCUGCUGAGUUGCUGCCCCUUUCUUGAACCAUGAGAACUGCAGUCUUUUUUUUUUUUUUUUGAGACGGAGUUUCGCUCUUAUUACUCAGGCUAGAGUGCAAUGGCGCAAUCUCGGUUCACCACAACCUCCGCCUCCUGGGUUCAAGCAAUUCUCCUGCCUCAGCCUCCCGAGUAGCUGGGACUACAGGUGCACGCCACCAUGCCCAGCUAAUUUUUGUCUUAUUAGUAGAGACAGGGUUUCAUCUUGUUGACCAGGAUGGUCUCGAUCUCUUGACCUCGUGAUCCACCCGUCUCGGCCUCCCAAAGUGCUGGGAUUAUAGGCAUGAGCCACGGCGCCCGGCCCUGCAAUCUUUUUAAUUCUCAAUAUGAGUAGAGCUUUUUGAGCUUUAAAUCUAAGGGGAACUCAAAAGGCCUGUUUGGCAUAUGCAAUGAACAUCAAGAAACCAUCUUUCUGUGGAAGCAUAAUUAUUUUUCUUCUCCUUUUUGAAAGAUCUUUCCUUUUGAUGCCAGUUUUCUUCCUUGUUUUCACAAGUUCAGCAAUUCAAAAGAAAAAGGCGAUAGUAAGGGUUUCAAACUGGCAGAGAAAUUUGGAAGUCUCAUGAACAAUUUAUGGUUUUGAUCUGGGUUCUAGGUAUAUGGACUUAAAACCAUUGAGUUGUGGAGGCAAUGGCUUGGUUUUUUCUGCUGUAGACAAUUACUGUGACAAAAGAGUAGCCAUGUAGAAAAUUGUACUUACCGAUCCCCAGAGUGGCAAACAUGAUGUACAUGAAAUCAAAAUUAUUAGAAGACUUGAUCAUGAUAACAUUGUGAAAGUGUCUGAAAUUCUUGGUCCCAGUGGAAGCCAAUUAACAGACGAUGUGGGCUCUCUUACAGAGCUGAACAGUGUUUACAUUGUUCAGGAGUACAUGGAGACAGACUUGGCUAAUGUGCUGGAGCAGGGCUCUUUACUGGAAGAGCAUGCCCGGCUUUUCAUGUAUCAGCUGCUAUGGGGGCUCAAGUAUAUUCACUCUGCAAAUGUACUGCACAGAGAUCUCAGAUCUUUUCAUUAAUACUGAAGACUUGGUGCUGUAGAUAGGUGACUUUGGUCUUGCACAGAUCAUAGAUCCUCAUUAUUCCCAUAAGGGUCAUCUUUCUGAAGGAUUGGUUACUAAAUGCUACAGAUCAUCACAUCUUUUACUUUCUCCUAAUAAUUACAUGAAAGCCAUGACAUGUGGGCAGUAGGCUGCAUCUUUGCUGAAAUGCUGACUGGUAAAACCCUUUUUGCAGAUGCAAAUGAACUUGAACAGAUGCAGCUGAUUUUAGAAUCUAUUUCUGUUGUACAUGAGGAAGAUCGUCAGGAGCUUCUCAGCGUAAUUCCAGUUUACAUUAGAAAUGACAUGACUGAAUCACACAAACCUUUAACUCAGCUGCUUCCAGGAAUUAGUAGAGAAGCACUGGAUUUCCUGGAACAAAUUUUGACAUUUAGCCCCAAGGAUCAGUUAACAGCAGAAGCAGCGCUCUCCCAUCCUUCAUGAGCAUAUAUUCUUUUCCAAUGAAUGAGCCAAUUUCAAGCCAUCCUUUUCAUAUUGAAGAUGAAGUUGAUGAUAUUUUGCUUAUGGAUGAAACUCACAGUCACAUUAAUAACUGGGAAAGGUACCAUGAUUGUCAGUUUUCAGGGCAUGAUUGGCCUAUACAUAACAACUUUGAUAUUGAUGAAGUUGAGCUUGAUCCAAGAGCUCUGUCUGAUGUCACUGAUGAAGAGGAAGUACAAGUUGAUCCCCGAAAAUAUUUGGAUGGAGAUGGGGAAAAGUAUCUGGAAGAUCCUGCUUUUGAUACCAGUUACUCUACUAAGCCUUGUUGGCAGUACCCAGAUCAUCAUUAAAACAAAUACUGUGAUCUGGAGUGUAGCCAUACUUGUAACUACAAAACUAUGUCAUCAUCAUAUUUAGAUACUUUUGUUUGCAGAGAGAGUGAAGUUAACCAUUACUAUGAGCCCAAGCUUAUUAUAGAUAUUUACAAAUGGAAAGAACAAAGCAAAGAAAAAUCUGAUAAGAAAGGCAAAUCAAAAUGUGAAAGGAAUGGAUUGGUUAAAGCCCAGAUAGCACUGGAGGAAGCAUCACAGCAACUGGCCAGAAAAGGGAAAAGAAUCAGGGAUUUGAUUUUGAUUCCUUUAUUGCAGGAACUAUUCAACUUAGUUCCCAACAUGAGCCUACUGAUGUUGUUGAUAAAUUAAAUGACUUGAAUAGCUCAGUGUCCCAACUAGAGUUGAAAAGUUUGAUAUCAAAGUCAGUAAGCCAAGAAAAACAGGAAAAAGGAAUGGCAAAUUUGGCUCAAUUGGAAGACUUAUACCAAUCUUCUUGGGACAGUUUGUGAGUGGUGGGGAGGACUAUGAGAAGGAAAACACUUACACUAGUUACCUGGACAAGUUCUUUAGUAUGAAAGAAGAUACUGAAAUGCUAGAAAUGGAGCCCAUAGAGGAUGGGAAGCUUGGGGAGAGAAGAAAUGAGGAAGGAUUUCUGAACAACAGUGGGGAGUUCCUCUUUAACAAGCAGCUCGAGUCCAUAGGCAUCCCGCAGUUUCACAGUCUAGUUGGGUCACCACUCAAGUCAAUACAGGCCACCUUAACAUCUUCUGCUAUGAAAUCUUCCCCUCAAAUUCCUCACAAAACAUACAGCAGCAUUCUGAAACAUCUGAACUAAAACACUCAGCAGACAUUUAUCUUUGUAUUCUUCAUGAAAUGUGUGUUUUGUCUUUUUUUAUUACUAGUGUAGAAGUCAUUUUUUACUUGAAUCAGAUGGUGCCAUUUAGUAAGGAUUUUAUUAGUUCUUGGUUUUUAAAAUCCAGAUCUUCUUUUCCUACUUGUGAGAUAGUUUUCAUUUUAACUGGCAUGUCAUUUGCACACAAAAAUAAAGACUAAAGCAAAAUAAUGCAACGCAGGAGGAAACAAAAGCAAUGCGCUAAGACAAGUAAAGAACAUUCUCUCAUAGAACAAUGAUCUGUUUUACAGGAAACAAAUCUUGCCUUGAAAUUGACACAGUGAGACUGUACAUAAUUGCAUGAAAAUAUCUGUUUUUUCCGAAGACAUUUUUCAUUCCUGAGUAUUUUCAAGUUUUUCUUUUUUUUCUUUUUUUUUUUUUUGAGAUGGAGUUUUGCUCUUGUUACCCAGGCUGGAGUGCAGUGGUGAGAUUCGGCUCACCACAACCUCCGCCUCCCAGGUUCAGGCAAUUCUCCUGCCUCAGCCUCCUGACUAGCUGGGAUUACAAGCACACGCCACCAUGCCCAGCUAAUUUUUUGUAUUUUUUUAGUAGAGAUGGGGUUUCACCAUGUUGACCAGGAUGGUCUCGAUCUCUUGACCUUGUGAUCCACCUGCCUCGGCCUCCCAAAGUUCUGGGAUUACAGGCUUGAGCCCCGCGCCCGGCCAAGUUUUUCAUACUAUACACAUUUCUUAAAACACAUGAUACCAGCAGAAACUGAAAAUGAAUGCUGAAUUUGGUACCAAAUUCUACCUCAAGGUAACAAAAAUAUUUGGCAAAACAUAUACCAUCCAUAGUGCUUCACAAUAUGCACUUCUAUUUAGCCAGCAUUUAUUGUAGUAAACUAUUCUUUUUUUUUUUUUUGAGACGGAGUCUUGCUCUGUUGCCAGGCUGGAGUGCAGUGACACAGUCUUGGCUCACUGCAACCUCCACCUCCUGGGUUCAAGCAAGUCUUCUGCCUCAGCCUCCCGAGUAGCUGGGACCACAGGUGAGUGCCUCCACGCCCAGCUAAUUUUUGUACUUUUAGUAGAGACGGUGUUUCACCUUGUUGACCAGGAUGGUCUUGAUCUCUUGACCUUGUGAUCGGCCCGCCUUGGCCUCCUAACGUGCUGGGAUUACAGGUGAGCCGCCGCGCCUGGCAGUAAACUAUUCUUAAUAAGACUCAUUCACUGUUUAUAAAUGUUCUGGUAUGCAUUCUUUAUAGUGAAGUGUUAAUACAUCACAUCUUAUUUAUUUUAGCAAAUCAGUAUAUUUUCUGUAUUUAAUUAUAAAAAUUAACUUAGUUUUAAAAAUUUAUUUGCAAAUACACUUUUUCCGUUUGGCACUAUGGUUUGUUGCCUACCUAGCUGAAUAUAUUAUGUCAGCUUAUCCCAAGGCCGUCCACGUACUUAAUUUACUUAAGCGUUCAUUUUAAGUAACGUGCUCAUUGUGUAUAGGAAUUUGUAUUUUGGAGGUGCUUGAUCUAUCUACAAAGAAAAAUUAAUUAGGAAUUACUUUAUUAUAAAAUGCUCCUAGAAGUCUUAAUUGUGUUUAUUUUUUGGCCGGGCGUGGUGGCUCAAGCCUGUAAUCCCAGCACUUUGGGAGGCCGAGAUGGGUGGAUCAUGAGGUCAAGAGAUCGAGACCAUCCUGGUCAACAUGGUGAAACCCCGUCUCUACUAAAAAUAUAAAAAAUUAGCUGGGCAUGGUGGCGCGUGCCUGUAAUCCCAGCUACUCAGGAGGCUGAGGCAGGAGAAUUGCCUGAACCCAGGAGGCGGAGGUUGCAGUGAGCUGAGAUUGCACCAUUGCACUCCAGCCUGGGUAACAAGAGAGAAACUCCAUCUCAAAAAAAAAAAAAUUGUGUUUAUUUUUUAAUAAAAACCAAUGUUAGACUUGUGUGCGUGGAAGUAAUUAAGGUACAUCAUUGUAGUUUUAAAGUUGUACAUGAUGAGACAUUUUGUUUUUACUGUAUGUUUUUACUGAAUGAUCUGUUCCCCAUCCCAAGGCAAGCAUGAAUAAAAUUAGGUUAAAUGUAGCAUGUGGCAUCGCAGUCUCUUAGAAUUUGUUUCAUCUAUUUUAUUUUAUUGAAUACUGUCUGUAUCUUCGGUUAUCUUGUUUGAAGAAAAAGGGCAAAUAAAACAUGGCCAGCAAA